UUAGUUCAAUAUUAACAAUUAAGCCCAACUGCCAAGAUGGCCAAGACUGGCCUUGUAGACUUGUAUUUAAUAUAAUAGUCUUUGUCUCUUUGACCUAAAUCACAUAACCGGCUAGCAAAUCCAGAGAAAUUCAAAAAGUGAAAACCUUCAACUACAAGCCGCCGACUCAAACUUUUCCUGUUGAACUGCCAUCGAAGCCGCCGACGCCAAAUUUGAACGAGAAUUUAAUCAAGUUGCUAGUUAAAGUGAUACCAAUUUUGAAUGCUCAAAUGGAAGACCAAAAACAGCCUAAAGAAAGAUCAGAAAUAUGGAAUUGUUUCACUAAGAUACUUGGUGGAGAAAGAGCAAAAUGUAGUUAUUGUGGGAGAACAUUUAAGCGUCUCUUAAUAAUGAGUAUGACUUAUAAUGAGUAUGGUAAGUUAAGCAAUUGAUGGAUAAAUCAAACAGUUGGUAAGUAUUAGCAAUACUUGAAAAUAUUUUUUAUUUAUAACUUUUAAUUUAUCAUUCAUUUUUCAUGUAGACUUGAAGGUUUGAAGCAAAUGAACCAUUGAAUGGAUCGUUGAAGUUUUAUUAUUAGUAUUUACUCUCUGGUAUUUGUAUGUAUUGGUAAAUUAAUCUUGUUGGACAACUUGUUAUUUGCAUUUAUUAAAUUGGACUACGUUAAUUUGUAAAACUACGAUCGAAUGUGCCAUAGUUAUAUU